AUAAAAGCUACCCUGGGGAUAACAGGCUUAUCUCCCCCAAGAGUCCACAUCGACGGGGAGGUUUGGCACCUCGAUGUCGGCUCAUCACAUCCUGGGGCUGUAGUAGGUCCCAAGGGUUGGGCUGUUCGCCCAUUAAAGUGGUACGCGAGCUGGGUUCAGAACGUCGUGAGACAGUUCGGUCCCUAUCCGUCGCAGGCGUAGGAAAUUUGAGAAGACCUGUCCUUAGUACGAGAGGACCGGGAUGGACGUACCUCUGGUGUACCAGUUGUCCUGCCAAGGGCAUGGCUGGGUAGCUAUGUACGGAAUGGAUAAGCGCUGAAAGCAUCUAAGCGCGAAGCCAACUUCAAGAUAAGAUUUCCCACCGCAAGGGUAAGACCCCAGAAAGACUAUCUGGUUGAUAGGUCGAAGGUGUAAGUGCAGCAAUGUAUUUAGCUUAUCGAUACUAAUAGGUCGAGGACUUGACCAAU
rnacentral:rRNA from 1 species